rnacentral:rRNA from 1 species
GAUGAACGCUGGCGGCGUGCCUAAUACAUGCAAGUCUAGCGAACAGAUGAGGAGCUUGCUCCUCUGACGUUAGCGGCGGACGGGUGAGUAACACGUGGAUAACCUACCUAUAAGACUGGGAUAACUUCGGGAAACCGGAGCUAAUACCGGAUAAUAUAUUGAACCGCAUGGUUCAAUAGUGAAAGACGGUUUUGCUGUCACUUAUAGAUGGAUCCGCGCCGCAUUAGCUAGUUGGUAAGGUAACGGCUUACCAAGGCAACGAUGCGUAGCCGACCUGAGAGGGUGAUCGGCCACACUGGAACUGAGACACGGUCCAGACUCCUACGGGAGGCAGCAGUAGGGAAUCUUCCGCAAUGGGCGAAAGCCUGACGGAGCAACGCCGCGUGAGUGAUGAAGGUCUUCGGAUCGUAAAACUCUGUUAUUAGGGAAGAACAAAUGUGUAAGUAACUAUGCACGUCUUGACGGUACCUAAUCAGAAAGCCACGGCUAACUACGUG